UCCAAUGGGGAGGGAUAGACAUGCUAGUCGUGCGCCUUCCAGCAAUGUGGGAGGCGCGGCAGACAGCUCAGUAACACGUGGCUAACCUGCCCUUGGGACAGGGACACCCCCGGGAAACUGGGGCUAAUCCCCGAUAGGUGAAGAACUCUGGAAUGAGUCUUUGCCCGAAAAGCCGUUGGAUCAUGCUUCCAGCGGUGCCCAAGGAUGGGGCCGCGACCGAUCAGGUUGUUGGUGAGGUAAUGGCCCACCAAGCCUAUAACCGGUACGGGCCGUGAGAGCGGGAGCCCGGAGAUGGGCACUGAGACAAGGGCCCAGGCCCUACGGGGCGCAGCAGUUGCGAAAACUCCGCAAUGCGCGAAAGCGUGACGGGGCUACCCCGAGUGCCGUCCGCUGAGGACGGCUUUUCCACGGUGUAAGGAGCCGUGGGAAUAAGGAGAGGGCAAGCCUGGUGUCAGCCGCCGCGGUAAAACCAGCUCUCCGAGUGGUGGGGAUGUUUAUUGGGCUUAAAGCGUUCGUAGCCGGCUCAGCAAGUCUUCCGUUAAAUCCAGCGAUCUAAUCGUUGGACUGCGGAAGAUACUGUUGGGCUAGGGGACGGGAGAAGCCGACGGUAUUCUCGGGGUAGGGGCGAAAUCCUAUAAUCCCGGGAGGACCACCAGUGGCGAAGGCGGUCGGCUAGAACGCGCCCGACGGUGAGGGACGAAAGCUGGGGGAGCGAACCGGAUUAGAUACCCGGGUAGUCCCAGCUGUAAACUAUGCGGGCUAGGUGUUGGGGCGGCUACGAGCCGCUUCAGUGCCGCACGGAAGCAAUUAAGCCCGCCGCCUGUGAAGUACGGCCGCAAGGCUGAAACUUAAAGGAAUUGGCGGGGGAGCACCACAAGGCGUGAAGCUUGCGGUUUAAUUGGAGUCAACGCCGGG
rnacentral:rRNA from 1 species